CAAGAAAAGAAAAACAACCCCUCAAUAAAAAAAAAGGGAAAAAGAUUGCGGUACCGGCUUCGUCUUCCGGUCCGGAAGGCUCCGUUCAGAUCGACGCCUCUGCUCCUCUGCUGUCGAUCCCUCCGCCCCCAAAUCUUCUACAUCGAGCCGUGCGGCGGCGCCGGCGGCGACAGAGAGCGUCGACCUCUCCCUCCUUCAACGCUACUUUCACGAGCAGCGCAGCAGCGGCGGCCGCCGAUCCCACUCUCGGCAUGAGAUGGAGGAAUCAGUCGACCCUACACACCGGAGCAAAAACGAUAGCGAUUCAAAGCAUUUCACUGCUGCUGGUGACGGUGCAGACGGGUUCGCUGCUGGUGCUGCAGGCCAUCGAAGGGAAUGAUAUGAGCAUGGCCGGUCAAUCAAUGGAGUCGUCUUUAGGGAAAUCAAGGAUUUUGCUUGAUUGAACCUUGCUCGUUUUAAUAUUUGUCACAGCCAAGGCCAUGUAAUAUUUGACAGAAAAAAGGGCAUGCAAUAAAGUAGUAGAUCAUACUAUCUCUACACACGCUGCAAAGUGUGACCCUCUGUAUGUUCAUCAACAGCGCCCGUCCGCCCCUCAAAUAUCUGCCCGUGUCCGCUGCUCUCGCGUCCGCAACCCCGCCACCGCCUGCCUCCCUGUCGGCCACCCCUCCCCUCCACCACAACCUAGAUCUGAUUAGCCCACCUAAAUCCAGCGAGACAACCCGCCAGGCGUGGCUCUCCAUCUCGGCGCAGGCGAGCGCUGUGCGACGUCCUGUGGAGGUGCUGAGAUCUAUAUCUCUGGCCUCCCCCCAGUGCGAGGUCGAGCUGAGAUCCGCGGUUGGGGUCGAGCUGGGGAGCUGCUCCGGAUUGGGAGAUUAUUGGUUUGCCGGCGGAGUUAGACGUGUUCGAGAGGGAGGCGCAGCGUGCGGCGAGAGCAGUUACAAAUGCUCGCCGUACUCUGGCGCUCAGGGCCAUGUCGCGGAGAUCCGAGCAGGACCGGCAGAGAACUUUUGCGGGAGGAGAGCUGACAGUGGAGAGAAUCCUAUACUGGGCUGCAAGGGAGGCGGGAUCGCAAUCUAGAGAACAGAGGAGGAGAUGGAGAUUGUUCAGGGAGUUUGGAUUGAGUUUGUCGAUUUGUGGUGCAGGAUUGGUCCGAUCUGAUGCUCAAUCCACGCCUCCAGAUUCUCCGGUUCGAGCAGUGCGCGGUAGUGAAGGUUGAUGAGCAGCGUGGCCGCUGGUGUUGGUGACGACGUCUCCUGAGAGGAAGGUCAACGAAGGGCGACGUGUCUCUGCCAGGAGGGCCCUACUUGUCGGGGGCUAUACAGCAGGGCGGGCUGACCAGGUGACACCUGGCUUGUCCUGGUUGGCCAGUAUCUCCCCCGAGCAUCGGGUAGUGGCGCCUAUGUAGAAGACGCCUUCUGCCGAAUAUAAUAGCAUAGUGGACAGGCUCGCAAAUCAAUCCCGAGCUAGGGUUCGUUGUUGUUGCAAAGAUAUCCUCGAUUCGCUGGUGUGGGUUAGGAAGGAUCUGUUUGUUAGUGGUGAAUUUACUACUAGAGAGGGUUUUCAGAUCAUCUACCUAUCCCAAAGCAAUUUAGUUUC